UUUCCGUGCGACCUGAAUUUUGGACCUGGAUUCCUCCCUCACUGAUCACCACUUAAAAUGGCUUAAUACUGUGACAAAAUGCACUGUAGACCAGGGAGAUCGGCAGUUACUUCUAUUCAGGGGGACCCAAGUGAUCGCGGACUGGGAACUUCCUGGGAAAAAACUACAAUUCAGCAAUUGUCGAAAUGUUUAUUUAACAACGCCUUUCAACUUUAUAUGGUAGGAUAAAUAUAUGAGCGAUGAAUCGGGAAGGACUUGGAAGGAAGCGAUUGUGGUCAACUUUCUCAGCAUUUGUCUGCAAGGACCAAUAAACACAAAGAAACAUGUCAGUCAAGAUAACCAGUGACCACGGCGAGAUUCGAACCCGACCCUCCACAAAACGAAGCAAAAAUUCUGAACACUGUGAACACUGGAAUUAAAUCCUAUAAUUUGGACAUUUAUAAGUAGAUUGUAUGUAUUAGGCUACUUUUGUAAAACGUUGUGGCUGACAAUAUAGUUCCUCAACCAACAUCAUCUCUUAUGUUUUCGAAGAAUAAAUUGACAAAAUCAACACGGA